CAGCAGCCACGGUAAUACAGAGGGUGCGAGCGUUAAUCGGAUUUACUGGGCGUAAAGCGUGCGUAGGCGGCUUUUUAAGUCGGAUGUGAAAUCCCUGAGCUUAACUUAGGAAUUGCAUUCGAUACUGGGAAGCUAGAGUAUGGGAGAGGAUGGUAGAAUUCCAGGUGUAGCGGUGAAAUGCGUAGAGAUCUGGAGGAAUACCGAUGGCGAAGGCAGCCAUCUGGCCUAAUACUGACGCUGAGGUACGAAAGCAUGGGGAGCAAACAGGAUUAGAUACCCCGGUAGUCCCUGUCUCUUAUAA
rnacentral:rRNA from 1 species